CAAAGGUUCAUUUGUACAAGACAAUGUAAAAACGGGAUCAUGGGAACUUAACAUAUUACAAAAUGCAUAUAUCAUGAUUGUAGUUAAUGGAGAGGAAAUGGUAAAUUGGUCAGGUGACAUGUAUGUGAACGUUGCACAAACUUCAGUGACAACGCGAGGACGAGGUGGUGAGGUACUUUAUACAAUUCAAUACUGGCUUAUACAUUUAGAGCCAGAAUUCCUCUUAAAAAACAAUACUCCAGGUAUACCUUGGAUAUGGGAAAUACGAGCAUCUAG